GACGAACGCUGGCGGCGUGCUUAACACAUGCAAGUCGAACGGAAAGGCCCUGCUUUUGUGGGGUGCUCGAGUGGCGAACGGGUGAGUAACACGUGAGUAACCUGCCCUUGACUUUGGGAUAACUUCAGGAAACUGGGGCUAAUACCGGAUAGGAGCUCCUGCUGCAGGGUGGGGGUGGGAAAGUUUCGGCGGUUGGGGAUGGACUCGCGGCUUAUCCGCUUGUUGGUGGGGUAGUGGCUUACCAAGGCUUUGACGGGUAGCCGGCCUGAGAGGGUGACCGGCCCCAUUGGGACUGGGAUACGGCCCAGACUCCUACGGGAGGCAGCAGUGGGGACUAUUGCACAAUGGGCGGAAGCCUGAUGCAGCAACGCCGCGUGCGGGAUGACGGCCUUCGGGUUGUAAACCGCUUUCGCCUGUGACGAAGCGUGAGUGACGGUAAUGGGUAAAGAAGCACCGGCUAACUACGU
rnacentral:rRNA from 1 species